GAUGAACGCUGGCGGCGUGCCUAAUACAUGCAAGUCGAGCGAACAGACGAGGAGCUUGCUCCUCUGACGUUAGCGGCGGACGGGUGAGUAACAUGUGGAUAACCUACCUAUAAGACUGGGAUAACUUCGGGAAACCGGAGCUAAUACCGGACAAUAGAUUGAACCGCAUGGUUCAAUAGUGAAAGACGGUUUUGCUGUCACUUAUAGAUGGAUCCGCGCCGCAUUAGCUAGUUGGUAAGGUAACGGCUUACCAAGGCAACGAUGCGUAGCCGACCUGAGAGGGUGAUCGGCCACACUGGAACUGAGACACGGUCCAGACUCCGACGGGAGGCAGAAGUAGGGAAUCUUGCGCGAAGGGCGGAAGCCUGACGGAGCAACGCCGCGUGAGUGAUGCAGGUCUUCGGGUCGUAAAACUCUGUUAUUAGGGAAGACCAAAUGUGUAAGUAACUAUGCACGUCUUGACGGUACCUAAACAGAAAGCCACGGCUAACUACGUG
rnacentral:rRNA from 1 species